AUUGAACGCUGGCGGCAGGCCUAACACAUGCAAGUCGAACGAGUGGCGGACGGGUGAGUAAUGUCUGGGAAACUGCCCGAUGGAGGGGGAUAACUACUGGAAACGGUAGCUAAUACCGCAUACCAUCGGAUGUGCCCAGAUGGGAUUAGCUAGUAGGUGGGGUAACGGCUCACCUAGGCGACGAUCCCUAGCUGGUCUGAGAGGAUGACCAGCAACACUGGAACGGGGACGCGGUCAAGACUCGUACGGGAGGCAGCGGUGGGGAAUCUGGCACAAGGGGCGCAAGCCUGAUGCGGCCAUGCCGCGUGGAUGAAGAAGGCCUUCGGGUUGUAAAGUACUUUAAGCGGGGAGGCGUUACCCGAAGAAGAAGCACCGGCUAACUACGUGCCAGCAGCCGCGGUAAUUC
rnacentral:rRNA from 1 species